GGAAACUUCCUCCUUAAGGAAGUGACUCUCCUAGAAGCAGCUGGUAUCUGCUAGUUCUUUCAUUUAGUUAAUUCAGCCUUGCUAAACUACCAAAAGAGAAGAAAUAAGCCUCCAGAACCAUCUAGAUGUCUCUCCUUGCCUAAAGAAGAAGCAGUAUCAAGGAGUUGAGAGCAAUCAAUUAUUUCAAAUGCUGCUGAUAGGUCAAGUGAAAGAACUGAAGAUUGGAUUUAGUAACAGAGAACUAAGAAGCAAGGUCACCAGCUGAAAGUGAGGAUGACAAGGUGUUGGACAUUUGAGGGGAGAUGAGAGGCAUGAAAUAAUCAUCUGAAAUUAUAUGCUAUUGAAAAUAAUUGGUAAGCCAUUCUCAGUGGGCUCACACUAGGAGUAUAGUAGCAUUUGUCAGAAAAUUAAACAGCUAAAAAACCUAAGCAUUAUUCACCCAGAAAAAAUAUGAGCAUGCCUGAACUCAUCACUCCCACAUAGCCCAAAUCUGACAGUUUUCUUCCGUAACUUAACAUUUAAGAUGUUGAGUUACAACAUGUUUGCUAUGUUUGUUUUUCAUUACAAUAUUUCACGUUGACUAUUGAGAACUAUAAGCCAAUUUCCUUUUAGACUCUUGAUAUUUUGCUAUUAGUUACUGUUGAACAAGAGCCAUAUCAGCUGUGCAGCACCUCCAGGGAAAGGGUGGAUAAGUUUGUCUCUGGCAAGAUGGAAGAAAAGCUACUUGUUAGCUUGU
rnacentral:lncRNA from 1 species